rfam:Gossypium arboreum cultivar AKA8401 contig_42708_1, whole genome shotgun sequence.
UGUUAAAAAUUUCAUCUAUUUAUACUAUUAAAAAUUAACGUGGUUGAUAGAAUAAUCAGAUAGUAACAUAUGGUAUGCCACGUGUACCUCAUGUUGAUGUACAAAAACCAGUUUUUAACAACAAAAAAUGGAUGAAAUUUUUAACA